UGAACGCCGGCGGCGUGCUUAACACAUGCAAGUCGACCGGAAAGGCUCCUGCUUGCAGGGGUACUCGAGUGGCGAACGGGUGAGUAACACGUGGGUGAUCUGCCCUGCACUUCGGGAUAAGCCUGGGAAACUGGGUCUAAUACCGGAUAGGACGAUGGUUUGGAUGCCAUUGUGGAAAGUUUUUUCGGUGUGGGAUGAGCUCGCGGCCUAUCAGCUUGUUGGUGGGGUAAUGGCCUACCAAGGCGUCGACGGGUAGCCGGCCUGAGAGGGUGUACGGCCACAUUGGGACUGAGAUACGGCCCAGACUCCUACGGGAGGCAGCAGUGGGGAAUAUUGCACAAUGGGCGCAAGCCUGAUGCAGCGACGCCGCGUGGGGGAUGACGGCCUUCGGGUUGUAAACUCCUUUCGCUAGGGACGAAGCGCAAGUGACGGUACCUGGAGAAGAAGCACCGGCUAACUACGUG
rnacentral:rRNA from 1 species